GAUGAACGCUGGCGGCGUGCCUAAUACAUGCAAGUCGAGCGAACAGACGAGGAGCUUGCUCCUCUGACGUUAGCGGCGGACGGGUGAGUAACACGUGGAUAACCUACCUAUAAGACUGGGAUAACUUCGGGAAACCGGAGCUAAUACCGGAUAAUAUAUUGAACCGCAUGGUUCAAUAGUGAAAGACGGUUUUGCUGUCACUUAUAGAUGGAUCCGCGCCGCAUUAGCUAGUUGGUAAGGUAACGGCUUACCAAGGCAACGAUGCGUAGCCGACCUGAGAGAGGGGUCGGCCACACUGGAGCUGAAACACGGUCAAGAGUCCUACGGGAGGCACCAGUAGGGAAUCUUACGCAAUGGGCGAAAGCAUGACGGAGCAACGCCGCGUGAGUGAUGAAGGUCUUCGGAUCGUAAAACUCUGUUAUUAGGGAAGAACAAAUGUGUAAGUAACUAUGCACGUCUUGACGGUACCUAAUCAGAAAGCCACGGCUAACUACGUG
rnacentral:rRNA from 1 species